CAUUACCGAGUUUACAACUCCCAAACCCCUGUGAACAUACCUUUAUGUUGCCUCGGCGGAUCAGCCCGCGCCCCGUAAAACGGGACGGCCCGCCGCAGGAAACCCUAAACUCUGUUUUUAGUGGAACUUCUGAGUAUAAAAAACAAAUAAAUCAAAACUUUCAACAACGGAUCUCUUGGUUCUGGCAUCGAUGAAGAACGCAGCAAAAUGCGAUAAGUAAUGUGAAUUGCAGAAUUCAGUGAAUCAUCGAAUCUUUGAACGCACAUUGCGCCCGCCAGUAUUCUGGCGGGCAUGCCUGUUCGAGCGUCAUUUCAACCCUCAAGCCCAGCUUGGUGUUGGGAUCUGUGUGCAAACACAGUCCCCAAAUUGAUUGGCGGUCACGUCGAGCUUCCAUAGCGUAGUAAUUUACACAUCGUUACUGGUAAUCGUCGCGGCCACGCCGUUAAACCCCAACUUCUGAAUGUUGACCUCGGAUCAGGUAGGAAUACCCGCUGAACUUAAGCAUAUCAAUAAGCGGAGGAAAAGAAACCAACAGGGAUUGCCCUAGUAACGGCGAGUGAAGCGGCAACAGCUCAAAUUUGAAAUCUGGCUCUCGGGCCCGAGUUGUAAUUUGUAGAGGAUGACUUUGAUGCGGUGCCUUCCGAGUUCCCUGGAACGGGACGCCAUAGAGGGUGAGAGCCCCGUCUGGUUGGAUGCCAAAUCUCUGUAAGUCUCCUUCGACGAGUCGAGUAGUUUGGGAAUGCUGCUCUAAAUGGGAGGUAUAUGUCUUCUAAAGCUAAAUACCGGCCAGAGACCGAUAGCGCACAAGUAGAGUGAUCGAAAGAUGAAAAGCACUUUGAAAAGAGAGUUAAAAAGUACGUGAAAUUGUUGAAAGGGAAGCGUUUAUGACCAGACUUGGGCUUGGUUAAUCAUCUGGGGUUCUCCCCAGUGCACUUUUCCAGUUCAGGCCAGCAUCAGUUUUCGCCGGGGGAUAAAGACUUCGGGAAUGUGGCUCCUCUCGGGGAGUGUUAUAGCCCGUUGUGUAAUACCCUGGCGGGGACUGAGGUUCGCGCUCUG
rnacentral:rRNA from 1 species